CUAAGGAAAGCUCAUUGUGAGACUGGCUCUUGUGGCUGUGAUUCUGCACCAAGGCUGAAUUUUAGGAAAGAGACUUCAGAUACAGUAUUUGGGGUCCACUAAGGUCCAUAUAAAAGCAUCCCAAGAGCAGCAUGUCAUGAGACCUUUCACGCAGAGAUAUUUCACAGGGGGUCCUCAGAAUUACUUCAGGGGG